UCCAUAGCGAGUAUAGUACAGCUUGGAAGGUUUACCGAAUGAAAAAUAAAGAUGUUCUAACCUUUGUCGUAACUAUCAAUAUAGAUCAAGGAGCUCAGCCCAAUUGUUCAUGUAACCGUUAAUGGUAUAACUUUAAGCAUCGAGUUAUGUAUAUAUAUGUUCUAGUACUAUACCUUUUUAAAACUAUUCUGAACUGUAAUAAUGGUUGUGAUUAUCAGUUAUGAAUGAGUGUUAAUUAAUAAAUGUUACAUCUGGAUGUGUCUUAGAUCUUAGUGCACCACAUACAAACCUUGAACAUAUAUUUGUCUCAAUCAUUUUUGCUUUUUUUGAUUCGCGUUUGUUCAUAACAAUAAAUAUAAUUCGCACAAAACAAUUUUACAUGAUUCUCUCCAAUAGCCUCACAAACGUAUAUUUGCACCUUGAAAGAUAUCACUAGUUAAGAAAAAAGAUAACAUAUCCAUCAAUAUAUUAUUAUUAGCUAAUAGUGAAACAAUAGUACUCCCUCCGCUUCGAUUUAAUUAUCGUUGUAGAAAAAAAUUAUAGUUUCAAAAUAAGUAUCUUUUCAAAGUUUUAAUGUAAAAUUUAUUAAUAAGAUUUUUCAUUUUAUUUUUUUAUUGGUUGAAAUAUGAUUAGCUAGAUAUAUAUGUAAUUUUGUUUUUAUUUUGGGAAUAUACAAAAUCAUAUGUUUUUUUUAAUCUGUGUGCAUAAAAACGACAAUUAAAAGAAAAUGGAGAGAGUAAUUAAGAAAUAGUGAGUGGUUAUCUUAUUGGUGAUACUCAUAAGUCAUAGGGUAUAUAAUCGUCGAAUUUUUUAAUUAUCUCAUAGGCAUUGAUUUCGAAUUUGUCUUUACGUAACAAGGUGAAGAUUCUCUCUCUCUGAAGUAACUUUACGUUAUAUAUGUAUAUAUGAAUAACUUAAACACUAUAUCUAUAAACUGCGCGCAAACCCUAAUUUAUAAAUAUUUCAAGCUAACAUCUACUCAUCAUGAUCAUUUACAUGUGACAUGUUAAUUUAUCAGAUUCCAAUGGAAAUGGAUACAGUUUUACUGUGUAGAAUAAGUUAGUUGACAUUAAAUCGAAACCAAAACAAUGUGAGAUUGAUAUUAAGAUUGGGAAAAUAUUAUGUUUAUAAGAUUGAGCGAGGAUUUCAAAAUGGCGUAAAUAAUGAUCAUCAUGAAUUAUAAUUAGCCGCAAUUAAUGAUGAACGGACGGUGGAUGAAGAUCGACCACUAAUUCUCCAAGUGAACCCUCCUCUACUUGUCUCCCUAUUCCACAUUCUAUCUGAUAACCAUUAAGUCAAGACUUCUCAUUAGUUAAGCUUUCAUUUUUUUCAGGUUUAAUAAUCGUUAGUGUGGUAUUGAGCAUUUCAAACAUGCACAAACAAUUUUCACCUUUGGUGUCUAAAGAGAUAUCAGAAAUGAAGAGAAAGCAUCCGGGCAUGUGUUAUCUGUGAAUCUUUUGUUUGAGGCGGUUUAGUGGGACUGCUCAUAUAUCUUUAGAUUUUUAAAAUAUUAGCGGCGAUUGCGUCCCUAUAUAUGUCAUAAUAGUUUCAAAAUUGACUCAUUUAUGAAUAAUCUACGAGUUUAAAGUUUUGGAGGGGCAUGCAAACAAGUAAUAUAUCUCUCUAGAUCCUCUGACCUCUUUCUAGAAAAAGCUCAAACUUGAGAUCGUGUUCUCCGACCGGCGGUGUGGUUUCUCUUCACCACCGUCGGUCGGGAAAGUUUGUGUUUUUUUGUUUUUGAUUCUCGGGAUAUCUUUUUGUUUAAGAUCAAAAUCGUCGGGAUCUUUACAGCGAUCUUCAGUCUGUGGCUUUCGGGUUUUAUCUCCGGCAUAGUCGGCUCCGUCGGCGUUGCAUGUCCGGCCCCAGUUCUGAUGCCGCAUUUUUUCUCUUGGUGGGCGAUCGGCUUUUGACUCCGGAAACCACACCUUCUCCCUCGGUGUUGGUUUGUCGGCACUUGGUUUUGUUGGUGUUGAUGGUGGUUUAGGUCCGGGCGUUCCGGAUUCUGUUUGAUCUCCUCUUCUCUUUGCUCAGUCUGUUUCAAUCGUUGUUGAUUGGAACUAACAAAUUGAAAAGGAGAUCCUUGUGUUAGUAUAAAGAGUCCUUUGGUCUUCUGUGGUAUGUGUGGUAGAAGACGUGGGGUGAUGGUGGCACGGUGGUUCUCUUUGAACGGUGUGUGUUCCCGGUAUUUUUCCGGUGGUAUUCCGACUUGAAUCUUCGUCGGAAACGUGUAAGUCUCUCACGACGUGUGGCUGGUUCUCUACGUGGAGCAUGUUUCAACACGUGGCUUAUCCAUGUUUAUCUUACCGCAUAGGUUUCAUUUGGGCCUUGGUGUCCUUUAGCUUUUACUAAGCCGUUUGUUGGCUUUGUCUGUAUUUUACUUUUGUUUUUUUUGGACUUUGUACUGGGUUUGUGUUUAAUAUUUAUAAUAAAGAUGGCAAAAAAAAAAAAAAAAAUGUCAUAAUAGUUUCACACUAUUAUUGUCACUAAGUAUUAAAUACUACUUUAAUUAUUUAAAUCAUUCUACCUCAAGAAAUUUUAAUUUUUUUUGUUGAAAUUUUAAAACUUUUCUCAUUAUUAUUCUAUCAUUUGUUUUUGUAUCAUGUUAUCAGUGAAAUCAACGACAACAUAAAACCAAGACAGAUCUUCCAAAACCAAAUCUUCUUUUUCCAUUUUCUUUAUUCUUUUUUUAUUUCUACUACCGUACGAGAGCCUUGGAUUAAUAUAUCCCUUACAUAUAUGUAUAGUGGAAAAUGGCCACGCCAUUUCUCAUGUUUACCUUGACCACUUUUUUUUCACUUAUAAAUAGAAAAAAUAUAUUUAUAAUCCUAGAGUUAACUAAUCUAGACUUAGGAUUUUGAGUUGAGGAGCGGGUAGGGUUUUAAGAGUAUGGAGUUUAAGAUUCUAAUAAAUAUAUACAAAUUACCAAAUAUAUAUUUAUUUAUUUAUAUAAUUUUAAUGUAUGAAGAUGCACAAAAUAUUAUAACGAAAAAUAUAAGAAUUUAUAUUUGUUUUGAUAUUCAUAUUUUUAGUAUACUUGGUGGAAGAAAUUAAUAUAAUUAUGUAGAAAAUAUUUAAUAAUUAUAUAUAAUUUUUUUUGUGAAAUUUCCUUUUUAAUGUAAACACAUAUAUUUAAAUAUUUUUUUUAAGUUAGUAAAUAUUUCCUUUUUGUAAUAUAUGUAUUUUGUUAAAAUAUAAAUAAAGGAAUUUUAAAUUAUAAACUCAACUUAAAUUUUAACAAAAGAAAAGGUAAUCAGUUUUUAAAUAAUGACAAUUACAUAUACCAUUUUUAUUUCUUUCAGGGUACCUCUGUAAUUAACUGUCACAAGAAUUAACGUGAGUGCGACACAAACGAAACUGGCUUAUAUUUGGUUGAAGAAAUUAAUAUAAUUAUGUAGUAAAUAUUUAAUAAUUAUAUAUAAUUUUUUUUUGAAAUUUCCUUUUUAAUGUAAACACAUUUAUAUUUAAAUAUAUUUACGUUUUUAAAGUUAGUAAAUAUUUCCUUUUUGUCAUAUAAGUAUUUUAAAAUAUUAAUAAAAGGAAGUUUAAAUUAUAAACUUAAAUUAAUUUUAACAAAAGAAAAGAAAAUCAGUUUUUUUUUUUAAAUAAUGACAGUUACAUAAAAUAUUUUUAUUUCAUUAAAGAUAUCUCUGUAAUUAACCGUCAUUGUGACACAUAAGAAACUGACUUUUCGUAGGAACAGAGCGAGUAAUAUUGUAGAGAUGAAUUUUUAGGCAUGUAACUAUUAACAAAAAAAGGUUAUACGACUAUAAGCAUCUUUAUGUACAUCAAUCUAAAAACACUUACAGAUUUCAUUUGAGACACGAUAAAAAAAAUUUGGAAGGAGACUUUUUUUAACGUUCCUUUCAUUUCUUGCCCCAAAGGAAUACCAUUACAAAGAUGUUUUAAACAAAUGAGUUCGAAGGUGAUGACGAAAAACACAUAAUAUUGCGAUAUCAACAUUAAAGAAACUUGUGUGAAGCCGUAGAAGAGGCAGUAGAAUUCCUAAGAUAUGAAUGUGUUGAAACCAGUUGCUGAUGUAAGAUUGAUUUGAAUCAAAAGAUAUACUCCAUCCGGUUUGCUUUAUAGGCUGAUUUAGCAAUUUAUAUUUCAUUAUUUUAUUUUAUCGUAACAUUUGUUCUUUAAUUAGUACUAGAUUUUGACCCGCGCUUUCAAAGCGCGGGAUCGUUACUUUUGUAAAAUUUCAUUUAAAUUAAUAAAUAUUUAUCUAAUCUAUAUUUUAAUAGAUUUUUUAUUUGUUUAUGGUCAAUUUUUAUAACAUUGUCUUCUUUAUUUUAUUUUUAUUAUUAAAAAUAAAAAUGUUUGUUUGUGAACUAAUUAAUUAGUUAAAAUAUUUUAAAAUGGUAAACAUCUACUCAAUAAAUUUAAUCAUAUUGUAAUGAUAUAUUUGGUAAGGUUAUUUAUUUAUAAUUUUAACUUAUUAAAUAAAUAUUAUAUGAAAAAUGUAAUAGACAUUUCAUUUUUCAUUCUACAUAUUUUUAAUUCAUGCAUAAUUUUUAAAUUAUAAUAACAGAAAUAUUUAAUAAUUAUUAUGUAUUUAAAUUGGCUUAUACAUAGUUGGUUUUAAAAGAAAACACUGUUGGGCUUUGGUUUGUUUAGGAUUUAUUUUUUGUCAGAUAAAAUGGGCUAGAAUUGCCCAAAGAGAGCAACAAAUCUGUUAUGUCAAAAUCUAUGUUUUUGUGGCCGUUUGGUUAAAAAAAAAAACAGAAAAGGGAAAGUAGAAAAAAAAUAUUUCUCGAUCCAAUUUUUCUUUGAGGAAUCGACGACACGCUAGAACUGAAAUAGAGAAUCGAUGAGAGAAUCAGUGGGUAGAUCUAUCGAUCUUGAUGGAUAGGGCGUUGGUGAAGAUUGAAACUGUUGAUUGGUGAAUGUUUCUCAUGAAUCGGGUUCACAGAUAAAGAAGAUGAAAUGGGUAAUUUGCUUACAAUUGAAAAAAGAAUUGAAUGUCAACUUAAUGGGCUUAAAAACACGAAAAUGUAAGUAUGUAUUAGUUGGGCUUUUCAUUUUUGAAAAAAAGAAUUGAAUGUUUUGUAAUUAAUAAGAAAAUUCAGGGGCAUAUUCAUAAGAAGUAUUCUGCUUUAAUAGUAUAGAUGGGUCAAAAAGGAUAUAAAAUUUUAGGUUUUUUUUUCAAAUAUAACCUAAAAUUUCAAGUCAAACACAAACUAACCUAUGUUUUUUUUGAAACUUUGACUUGCUUUAUUUAUCCUUGAAAUUCGAGUUAUUCAAGAAAAUGUCAUUAUUAUUUUUUUCCAAAAAUGAGUGUUUUACUUAUUCAUCCUCAUCUUCCUCAUUUAUUUACAACAUUGUCAUUAUCAUUGUCGUCAAAACACCAACCACCAUUAACAACCAAUUUUAAGCUCUAAAUACACCUAAAAUCAACAUAUAGAUCUUCAUAUCCACAUUCUUUCACACAUAAACCAUUUCUCUUCCACUUUAUCUCUUAUUUCAUCCGAAAAUCCUAACUUUCAUUAAGAAGUUAUGUGUGCUUGUAAAAGCUAUACAUGAAUUUCGCUGGAUCUAAAAAUUGAUAUUUGAAUUUUUUUUCAGAUCUGUUUCGCGAAGAAGACUUCUAGAGAGGUCUUCUGGUCAAUUCAUAUGUUAGUUUUGCAAUUGACUUUUUGUAUGUUUUAUAAAGAAGACUUUUUUAGAAAUUUUUUAAUUUUUUCUUGUUAACAAAAAAAAAAGACUUCUCAAGAAGUCUUCUGGGAUAAACAAGUUAGUUUUGUAAUUAACCAAAGUUUGUCAGAAAUUUAUUUUUUUAUAAAAAACUUCUCGGAAAUUCUUCUUUACUGUUAGAUGAAGUCUUUCACUAUCGCAAGAAGUCUAUGUAUGUUAGUUAAACUUUAAUAUUAAUUAAAAUACUUCUUAAUAGGGUUUAGACUUCUAAAGAAGUCUUCUUGAAUUUUAUUACCGGUUUUGGGUCAAACAUUUGGUUACAAGAGAAAACUUAUAGAGAAGUCUUUUGACGGAAGACUUCUGUAGAAGUCUUUUGUGAAAAAGUCAAAUAAAGUAAGCUAUGCAGACUUCUUACGAUAAUGAGAAGACUUCAUGUGAACGUUCUAAGAAAAAGUCAAAUAUCUGCAACACUAUGGUCAAUUGCAAAACUAACAUGUUUACUAGAGAAGACUUCUGGUAUUUUCGAGGAUUUUUUAAAUUCAAAAGUAAGCAAAAAUUUACAAAAGAAAACUUCUCAAUAUGUUUGCUGUAGAGUAUACUUUUCUAGUAGUCUUCUUUUGUAAAUUUGCAAUUUCAAAAAUGACAUAAAUGUAAGACUUCUCUAGAACCCUUCUCUGCGUUAAUGUUUAAUAAACUUUCAUUUUCUCUACAAAUAAAAAUGAAUUUUAAUAUAUUUUUUGUUAGUUCAUGUAUAUUAAUUAAUAUUGGGGAUCCUGGAUGAAAUUCAUAACUUAUUUUGUUAUAAUUAUGAUAUUUCAAAUAUUCAUGUUUACUAAUGUUUCUAGCUAAUUUAAGAAAACUUAUGUACGAUAGAUUUUCAAGAUUGCUAAGUAACUUUUUUUUUUGUCAGCAGAUUGCUAAAUAACUUAAAGACAUGUUUUUAAACUUUCAAUAGUAUUACGUAACUUUAAGAAUAUCAAGUCAUGUGGUUAAUGUGUCUUUUAGAUCAUAAAAUGUAAUUUUGAACCUCCAUGAGAUUCAAAAUUUCAACUUUCACUUAAAAUUCAAUUUUGAUCUUUUUUGAAUUUGACUACGUUUUUUUGAGAAGUCUUCUCUCUUAGUUUUAAUAAAUUUGAUUAAUUUUCUGUGUUCUUGUGUUUUUUUAUGAAUGGGUAGAAUGAUUAAAAAAAUUUCUUGGUAUGUUGUAUCAAUAACUUCAAUAAUGUCAAGGACUUUUGGCAAAAUAUAAAUACAUUUACCAAAUUCUUUUGAUUAACAUUUCUUCAAAUUUACAAAAGAAUUCACAACUAAAAUAUUACACAUACAAAUCAUAAACCAAACCAUAAACAAAAUUAUUAAACAUUGAGCUAGAUAUCAUUCCUCAACAUAGAUAAGCUUGGACUCCACUUGACACCAUCCCUUUGUACCACUUUGGGCAGAAGACUUCUAAAGACUUCGUGGGAGUAUUCUAGCAUAAAAUACAUUAGAAUACUUCCCAAAAAAAUCCUCCAAGAGUCUUCCAAGAGUCUUCUGAGAAGUCUGACUCAAAUAUGAAAAGUCUGCAUAUUCAAAAUCAUUCAAAUGGCUUCAAAAUAGAAAAAAAAACCUCUAAAAAAUUAUUAGGCUUAAAUAAUAAAUAAAACAGUCACAUUAGGUUGAAUCUGUAACUUUUUAAAAUCUAAUAUAUAAAACACACAAAAUACAUAUCCAAAAUUUGUACCACUUUGCACAAAGGACUUCUGAAGACUUCCCGAAGUCUUCUAGCAUAAAACACAUAAGAAGAGUCCCCAAGAAGUCUUCCGAGAAGUCUUCCGAGAGUAUUCUGAGAGUCUUCUGUGAAGUCUUCCAAAAUCUGACUCUGAUCUGAAAAAUCAGAAAGAUAAUGUAUAAAUUUUCUUUAUAUAUGAAGACAAAAAUUUCAAUUAGGUUAAAUAUUUUCGAUAAAGAAGACUUCGACCUUAAAAUCAAAUAACUAACCAAAUAGCAAAAACACUUCAUUAAACUUAAAAUCAAAUUUAAAGUGCUUAAUAUACACAAAACUAAACACAUAUAUGUCAAAUUUAAUUGUAAAACUAAAUUUUCAUCAUUUAAAAAUAUUUAUUAAUACAUGAUUUCAAUUUUUAUCAUUUCAAAAUAUUUUUUAUAAAAUUUAUUAAUUACUUUUAAGAUCUAAUACAUGAUAAAACUUUCCAUGGAAGACUUCUGGAAGACUUUUGGAAAGCUUUAAUUUAGGCGGAAAACCUAAAUUUUUUUAAAAUUUAGACGGAAACCCUAAAUUCUACCAAAAUAUAGGCGGGAUAUUUCAGAAGACUUCUUCGGAAGUCUACUCUGGUCUUCCAUACCCUGUUAUCAAAUAACUAAGCAAAAAAUACUUCCUUAAUUUUGAAAGAUACUUAGAAAGUAUUUAAAUCAAGUUAUUAGAUAGACACUAAAAUAUAUAUGUAAAAAAAAAAAAGAUUUCAAAAUCUAACCCUAAAAAUACCAACAAUAUUAUAAUAUAUGUUACCAAACCCUAAACCAAAGACUAUCAUGACUCAAUCUACAUUCACUCAUCUAUGUUAAAAAUAAUUUAAUUUUAGUAAAUUAAAUUUCUAUCAUUUAUAAAUGUUUACUAAUACAUGAUUUCAAUUUUUUCCCUUUGACAUUUUUUUUUAAGUUUUUUAAUUACUUUACGAUCUAAUACAUGAGAAAACUUUUUUUGGAAAACUUUUGGAAGACUUUGAUUUAUUUGGAAAACCUAAAUUUUUCUAAAAUUUAGGCUGGAUAUGUCAGAAAGUUUCUUGAGAAGUCUUAUGUGAGUCUUUCAGACCUUAUAAUCAAAUAAUUAUGCACGAAAAUACUUCUUUAAAUUAAAAGAUACUAAGAAAGUGUUUAAACCAAGUUAUUAGAUAGUCACUAAACAUAUAUAGUAAAAUUAAAAAAAAAAGAUAAGAUUUCAAAACCUAACCCUAAAAAUACCAACAAUACUAUAUCAUAUGUUAUCAAACCCUAAAUAAAUGACUAUCAUGACUCAAUCUAUAUUCAUUCAUCUAUGUUGAAACUAAUUCAAUUUUAGUAAAACUAAAUUUACAUCAUUUAGAAAUGUUUAUUAUUACAUGAUUUCAAUUUUUUUCUAUCAAAAUAUUUUUUAUAAAAAUUUUAAAUUAUUUUAAGUUUUCUCACGUGGAGGAUUAUAAUGGUAAAACUUAAUACUAGUUUAUUGUUUGGUCAUAAUGAGAUUGUCGUUAUUUCACUUGUUUUUUUGGUUACUUUUACAUUUGAUUGAAUUUGGGGUACACUUUUUUAUUCAAAAUCAUGUUAUGAGUCAUUUUUGGUAAUUUUUUCUAAAAUUUUAACAUAUUCAUCAAAACAUUCUAUAAAGCAAACCGGAAGAUGUAUAAGGUCGACUGAAAUAAAUUAACCUCAAAAUCAUACUCCUCUUUAUUGUUUUGAAAAUAAUAUUUUGAUUUUUUCUUAUUAAAAAAAAUUGAUUUAGGGGUUCGAAUUCACUUUUACUAAUUAAUGUUAAUAAUCUGUGAUUUAAAAAAAAUAUUAAUGAGGACAUUUGAAGCCUUAAAUUGCUAUCGGUUUAAUAGUUGUCGGGACAUGUUUAAUGUUAACAAUUACCAAUACUAAAUUUUACAUAAGCAUUAACUUUGUGUGUGUGAAAAGUCUAAUUCAUUUUUUUAAAGCAGAAGAAAUACUCCCUCCAUUUUUUAAUAUAAGUCAUUUUAAAAUUGUGCACAUAGAUUAAAAAAAUUAUUAAUUUCUUACAUUUUCUAAACAAAAACAUCAUUAAUUAUUUACCUAACUACAAAUCAACCAAUAAUAAAAUAGUAGGUAUAUUAUCAUUUAUCAUAUAACAUUAACUGUUAAUAAAUUUUACAUAGAAAACCGAAAAUGUCAUAUAAUUUGAAACAUAAAAAUUUCUCCAAAACAACUUAUAUUAAAUGGGAUUCAAUUCUAAAAGCAACAUAAUCCAUGAAUGGAUAGAUGGAGUAGUAUUCAAUAAAUGGAUAAAUGGGAUUGAAUUCUAAAAGCAACAUUACCAAUGAGAACUCCAAAGAGUGUCUUAACCAAAAGCUUCAUAUAACAUUUUUAACGAGUUAAAAUUAAAUAAUUAAAAGUUAAUUAUAAAAUAAAAAUUCAAUCAAUUUAUAGUUUUCAGGUGUUAUAUGAAGCUUUAGUGGGUUUCUAAAAAAUCUAAAUGAAAACUCUUCUUUAUUCUCUGUCUUCUCUUUUAAUUAUUGUUUCUAUUAUUCUAAAUGAAAACUCUUCUUUACUCUCUCUGACUUGCAUGAAAACCCUUUGAUAGACUUGUCUCUUUCAUCCUAUUACUUCUGCCAUACUUAUUCUUCCAUUUAAAUUUUAGUUUUCUUUUUGAUCAAAAAAAGAGUUGUUUUCUUUCUAUCUCUCUUUUAGGCUCCUUUACAGCUUAGUUGUUUUAAAUAACAAACUUAAAAAAAAAAUAACUUUUCUUUAUUAAAAAGAAAUUGUUGGUGGCUUUUAUCAAACCAUGGACACAAUACUUCAUAACUAUGUUUUGAGCCAUCAGGUUUUAAUAGACGUGGAACCUUCUUUUAAUGGAGACUAGAUUUUUUUGUUGUUGCUUAAGCUGCACUUUGAAUUAGCCAACUCUAGAUUACAUAUUAUAUGCAUUUUUCAGUUUCAGUGGGCUCCAUCAACUAGUUUUUCUGUAGGACCUAGCCCAUUAUCUAACCAUAAAAUUACAUAUGUACACAAGAAAGGCUUCUCUUAUUGCAAAUAGCUCAUUAACCGAGGUCUGAAAGAUUGAACCCAACAAUGCGAAAA